CAGUAGCCACGGUAAUACGAGGGGGGCAAGCGUUGUUCGGAAUUAUUGGGCGUAAAGGGCGCGUAGGCGGUUUGGCAAGUUUCGUGUGAAAUCUUCGGGCUCAACUCGAAGUCUGCACGGAAAACUGCCGGGCUUGAGUAUGGGAGAGGUGAGUGGAAUUUCCGGUGUAGCGGUGAAAUGCGUAGAUAUCGGAAGGAACACCUGUGGCGAAAGCGGCUCACUGGACCAUUACUGACGCUGAGGCGCGAAAGCUAGGGGAGCAAACAGGAUUAGAUACCCCCGUAGUCCCUGUCUCUUAUAC
rnacentral:rRNA from 1 species